GCAGUACAGUUUUGAGUGGUGAACAAAGGGAAAACGUUUCGUGUAUUGGCUUGGGACUCGGCUUGGCCUUUAGGGAAAAAAUAUAGCACGGCGGCCUGUCCUCUCUGAGUACGCACAACAGCACGGGUCCUCUUCCUGGGGACGGCACGGCAGCGCCGCCAUGAAUCAAGCCGCCGCGCGCGGCCGGUAUACCUUUCCCGCUACCCUCCAGCAGCGCGGCCGUUGCCCUUUUCUUCCCCUCCUCACCCGCCCCAACUCCUCACCCCCAGCCUCCUCGGCCUCAACGCGGACGUCUCCGAUUUGGAUAGGAUUCGACGCCGCCACGCGCGGCCGGUCUUCCUCUCUAGCUAUCCUCCAGCAGCGCCGCCGUUGCCCUGUUCUUCGCCUCCUCACCCGCCCCAACUCCUCACCCCCAGCCUCCUCCGCCUCGAGGAGGACGGCUCCGAUUUGGAGCUCAAGUACUGCCUCCUGACACCUCCAUCCCCAAGUACGUCCUCCCGUCAGACGAGGACGAGAUUUGGAUUGGGGCGCAACAGAGAUGAGGAAGGACAAAGCAUGAAUAGCUCCAGUGAGAGUGAACGGAUAUGAACACCACAACCCUCUCAGGGGUUGUUGGCUGAUCAGGAUACCCAAUUCUCAAACAAGCAUGCUGAGAUGCUCAAGAUAUGGAAGUUCGCCCACAAGCUCGACCGCCAGGUUUUUUUGGUUCAUGUUCAAUGGGAGGCGAAUAGUGUAGAGAGGGUAUCUGAUGCAAGUCCAAGAUUUGUGCGGUCUAAAUAGUACUGUAUUUAGUUUUCUGGAAGGGUGCAAAAGGCAUACUGGGCUUCCUGUGUAUACUGAUUGCUAAAUGAUGCAAUAAUAUUUGUGCGGUGGGGGAGUGUCAUUCCCUGUGUUUACUGAUUGGCCUCACCCUCUUAAGAGAUCUAACCUUGUCACCAUAAGGAAAAAAGCAAAGAGUAUUAUGACGCCAUAAAGUUUGAAUUCAGAGAAGUAUAUGCUGAAGAACACCAGAAUUAGUCUUCAUGAACCAUCAUCGCCUUGUUGAUGAUGCUUCACAUAGCGCCCACAAAUUAAACAACCUAUGAAAUGGCCAGAAGGGACCGGAUAUCCUACUUGGUAUGUGGUUUUAGAAGCGACUUAGGUUCCAGCUUGCUGUGAAUUUUAUGAUUUAUCACUACUAUAAUGUUAACUACUUAACUCGAUACUGAAAGAUUGGAGCCGUAGUAUUUGCAGAGGAAUUCCGAACAGGCUUCAUUAAUUCAGUAAAGGCCUAUGUAGAAACAUCUAUGACUUCACUAGAGAGUGGAUCUGCACUCGAGGAGCAGCUCGAGCAGCUCUGCGCACAUGCCUAGACCUACUUUCCUGUCGGCGUUGUUGAUAUGUGUGUUCUGUAUCAUUCUUUACGUCUAGCGUGUGAUGUAAUCCAUUUUCAGACUUUUUCACCAGUGGAAGCAUAUAUUUUACGAGCUGAAUCAAUAGAUGUUCAUUGAGUUUCAUGUAAAAAGCGCAUGUACAUUCUCACCAAAAACAAGAAAGUGUGUGUGUGCCCGACCUUCUCCCGCUGCGACCUUGACCAGGAAGCACGUCAAACAGAAAUGCCAAUCUUUACACCAGCAUCAAGCCCCUAGAAAAGUCUAUCACCUGUAUCUUUGCAUAUCACCGAGAUGGAGCCAGAAGACAAUUUUUUUAUCUUUAGGUGUUAACUCCUUGUGACAGGUAUAUGUGAGUAUCAUCGUUGUGUAGAGAUAGAAAUAUUCACAUUAGCAAACCUUUAGCUUAAGGUGUGACUGGUACCCAAUUACUCUUGGUCUCACUAUUUUAUCUUUUUGCUGGACAUUUUACAUCUCUUUUGAUUACUAAGCCUUUUAUUUUCUACUUUAUGUUCUGGUGUCAGCUGAAAACAAGAACACGGGGUACAUCAUUUUGCUUCUAACCUCACGCAAUUAAGGGAAUUUCUUUCUUUCUUUAAGCAUCAUCAGAUUUUCGCUCUUUGUUUCAAGAAUAUGGUCCUCGGUACAUGUGAUUAUGUUAAAUAUUGUUUUGCUACUUGCAAAGUUGUUUAAGUGGUCAAUUGUUUUUCAGGUUUCUAAGCAUUUUUCUAUAGUACCCGUUGCAACGCACGGGCAUUUGUGCUAGUAAUAAUAAUAAAGCACGGAUUGGGUCUCUGGGUUCACCGUCACAAUACGCUUUCUUCUCAUCUCAUAAUCCGUUUUUACGAUUUGUAUAGACAAAACCGUAAUAUAAACAAGGUGGUACUAAUUUGGGGUCGCCAGACCCCCUGUUGUUUUCGGUAUUCAAGGCGCAGUCCUCACAAUUAACGCCAACCGGUACGGCCGAGGGAAAAGGAAAGAAAA